rnacentral:lncRNA from 1 species
AAAGUUUUGAUUUGAAGCUGAAUGUCGCAUCUGCAACACACUCUUGGUUUUUAUAUCGUUCGCUGAUGCCGUCAGAUGUGGCGGGCAUGCUGAGUGUUCAGUUCACCUAGUUUUACAAGAGACAACGAACUGUGGCACCUCUGCCAAUCCAUCUUGUCUUGACUUGUGGUUUUGAGGAUAUUGUUCUUCUCUCCAACAAAAACCAUUGACGCAGCAUCGAUUAGAUCGCCAGGUGCCAUUAUUUGGCAUCUGGAUAGUUUGGGAUGCAGACUGCAGUAGAUAUUGGCGAUGCUCCAAAUGGGCAAAUAGAUCAGGCAAUGCACAAGGUUACAUGGAGCAUUCCUCAACAGCUAGCAUCAUCUCCUGAUGCCCCAUACUCCUAGGCCAACAUCUACCUCAAACAAUUUUUGUUUAAUUUCACUGUCUUUGUCUCCAUUGGAUCCCAUUCUAAAAUCUGUUGCGAAGUGAGAUUCCACAACCCUUCUCCCAAGCAUUUCUCAACCCGUCUCUGCAGCAUAUCUUUCAUCUCGCUUUGCAUUGUGUGAUGAUGGUCUCGCUUCUGUCACAUCCUCAUACCGUGGCAACACAAAAUCAUCCUGAGAGUAGAUGACGUGGUGUUGUCACUAAGCCCUACAAGGAAGACGCUACACUCACAAAACAGUUGUGGAUCAUGAGCAAACAACAUGGGUCUCCUGAUGCCUCGCAUGCCCAAGCGUAUGUAUAUAUAUCUCUCAUGUUCCAUGGACCAAUGAAACACCAAGG